UUAGAUACCCUAGUAGUCCAUGCCGUAAACGAUGAGUGCUAGGUGUUGGAGGGUUUCCGCCCUUCAGUGCCGGAGCUAACGCAUUAAGCACUCCGCCUGGGGAGUACGACCGCAAGGUUGAAACUCAAAGGAAUUGACGGGGGCCCGCACAAGCGGUGGAGCAUGUGGUUUAAUUCGAAGCUACGCGAAGAACCUUACCAGGUCUUGACAUCUUGCGCUAACCUUAGAGAUA
rnacentral:rRNA from 1 species